GAAGYUGCUAAAGCAUGGACAGAAAAAUGGAUGAUAUCAGUGCUGAAAAGUAUAUUUUGGAGCGUAUGUAUGAAACACUCAGGAGGAGAGGAGUUGUAUUCUCUCAGCAAUGCUCAGAAGAGAAAGAAAAAGCCUCUGUUUUUACAAAUAAGUGGAAUACAUAUGUCAGCAAAUCCAUAAGCAGCAUAARGGAGCUCAAAACAAUAUUUAUCAUUAUUGUACUGUUUAUUUGCCUGGAACUCUAAUUUAGAACCUGUGCUUUGAAGCUGCAAAAUUUUCACAGCUAUUUGCGUGUCCAGUAUUUUAAGGAUUUCUUUGCAUCCACUACUAGAAUGCGGAUUUCAGGAGUUUUUUAUUUAAUUGCUGUUUUUAUAUGUUUUUAGUGAGUCAAAGGCAUACUCUGUUUCUUUGUACUGUUUUGUUUGAUAUUGAAUCUCUGGAAGUUUUUGAAUAAAGUUCUUUAGCGUUUUUUGAGUUUCGAGGCAGUCAAAACAUAUCUUUCUUUUGAAAAUCCUAUACACUUUUUUUUAAACAUAGAUAACUCUAGAAUGCUUCAAUUUCCAUAGAACAUCUGGUCUGAACAUUGCCUGGAUGUAGUUGAGAACACUUGUAGUUGGCUGUACAUGUGCUGUGAAUGAUGUUGCCAAAACCACUCUUGAGGCCCUCUGAAAUGUUUGUUCUACUUUUUUUUUUUUCCUAAACAUCUUUCAAUACAGAUAUUUUGAUAAAGAGUCAGCUUGAA